GAUUACUCACACAGUCUUGAAGAUGCAAUGUCAGCUAUUUAGGACAGAAACAUCCAAGGCCGUGUCAGAACUCAAUUACGACUACAUAUGCAUUAAGGCAGGAACUGGCAGGCCUCAGGGUACGCCAACUAUAGGACUCGUGCUUCUCGUACGCUGGGCUAUAAUCUAUGAAACUGAGCUCCAGAGCCAGCCAAUCACUUAGCUCCUCAUAACAAGUCUAACUGGCUCUGGAAAGCUGAAAGGGCUGCACUGGAACAACACAGAUGAGAUAUUCUACACAUUAAUCUACUUAUCUGGAAUCACUUUGCCUCUAAAGGCCAGAGAAAAAUCACAGCUUCCUUGUCGGAGGGGAAAAGGACAGGUGAUCUGGGGAAAACGCAGCUACACCUGGAGCAAGGUCUCUUCCCGGCUUGGCAAUCUCAGCUGUGCCGGCGCUACGGGACCCGAGCCGUCCCAGAAACCAAAGGGCAGGCACGGCAGCAAACGCCUGAGUGCUGCUGCCUUCGGUGACUAUAUGAGAAUGGAAACUUCUAAGGAAGCCAGGUUGUUAGAAUUGUUACCCCCUUUACUCAGAGAUAACAUAGAUUAUCCAGGCUGAGAUGGAAAACAAGCCCUUUAUUGAAUUUUCAACACAGACUCCCUGCUUCUCAUCUCCUUAAUAAAAUUUCAUUAAAAUCCCCUUGAACUCCCAUGUUCAAAUCUCCAUUUGUUGACAGACAAAGCCAACAAUACUCUAAACUGAGGCCUGCAAGUCAUUUCAUUUGUAUUUUUGUCCAGAAAUUUCCCAUAGGAAGACUUCACCUCCUACAACUCCGAAGAAAACCCUUACUGUCCAAGACCGUCACCAGCAACCAUCCGCAGUCAUUCAAGUGGAAGCUUUCACAGCUUUUGUACAUUCUCUGUGUCAAUAUACAACUGAGUUACAGACUGUCCCCUGGCUCCCUGACCCUUACAAACACUAAAAGUUUUGUUUGACUCAACUUCAAGCUGCUCAUCUGUUAGUAAGUGAUGUUCACUCCAGAACACAUUCAUGAUGAGAACUUUCUAAAAGACCAGCACUGCUCUUCCCCUCCUAUAAUCAUAAUAAUCAUGAUAACCUGAAACAUGUUACUGGGACUCGACAUUUUUCUGGGGAUUGAAAUCUUUAGUCCUUGGAGCUGUCACAUAGCAGGGGCAACCUCACACUGAAACAAAGGAAGUGAUGUCCCAUUAUUAUCCACCCUGAGCCACCAUAAUAUGCUGUUUACAUUUAUUUUCUUCAGCCUGUGCAAAACAAAGCAAUGGAAAAGGAAACUAAAAAAUAUACAUACUAGUACCAUUAUCUUCUUUUGCCUAAAAUUACUAAUGCACCACGUCAGUCUGCUUCCUUCAGGCAUCAUUCUCAAUUCAUCAGGACUUGUAUUAGCAGGUUCUGGCUAGAGAGACUAUCUCCUGUCAUCACGAUCAAUUAAUGUUUUCUGGUGAUCACAUCAGGCCCUAUCUAAGAAGCUCAUGGUAUACAAGGGUCACCCAAAUAGCUGAGUGCAGUCCUUGCUCAUAUUUCCUUCAUCUUAACCCCGCAAACAAGAAUUAAGAUGAUCCCAAUAAAAGAAAAAUUGCUCAGGAAACUGAACCUUUUUCUGAACCAAGCACUGUCAGCAAAUCUCAGGUAUUAGAGCAACUAUGGUUGAUUGAAAAGUGUCUCAAAAUCUGGGCCAAGAAUGAUUGCUAGGUCCAUAAGCUAAUUUGUCUGGCCUUGCCAUUUACGUAAGCCAAAGAAAGUCACUCAUGAGUAAACUAUAGAAAACGUUCAGACCCAUCCUGUUAGUAUGUCAAAUCAACUAAGACUGGCAGGGUAUUAACUCCAUUCCAGGUGACAUGGAUAAAGAGCCCCAUUAUUUUCACAGUGCCAGCCUCUACCUAAGGAAACCCUAGACCUUGGAACCAGUUUCCUGGUAGGGAACUGCUGACAGUUUCAAUGCUGACAGUUGGAGCCAAUGCCUCAUAGUGUAAACUGAAAGAAAAAUAGUUGCUUUUUAAAAUGUCAGCAAGAAGGCCUGCCUCAUCUUAACAAAGCAAAAAAAAAUGCUUUAAUUCAAAUUAAAAAUCAUGAUACUA
rnacentral:lncRNA from 1 species